GUGAACGCUGGCGGUAGGCCUAACACAUGCAAGUCGAACGGCAGCACAGUAAGAGCUUGCUCUUACGGGUGGCGAGUGGCGGACGGGUGAGGAAUACAUCGGAAUCUACUUUUUCGUGGGGGAUAACGUAGGGAAACUUACGCUAAUACCGCAUACGACCUACGGGUGAAAGCAGGGGAUCUUCGGACCUUGCGCGAUUGAAUGAGCCGAUGUCGGAUUAGCUAGUUGGCGGGGUAAAGGCCCACCAAGGCGACGAUCCGUAGCUGGUCUGAGAGGAUGAUCAGCCACACUGGAACUGAGACACGGUCCAGACUCCUACGGGAGGCAGCAGUGGGGAAUAUUGGACAAUGGGCGCAAGCCUGAUCCAGCCAUACCGCGUGGGUGAAGAAGGCCUUCGGGUUGUAAAGCCCUUUUGUUGGGAAAGAAAAGCAGCAGGUUAAUACCCCGCUGUUCUGACGGUACCCAAAGAAUAAGCACCGGCUAACUUCG
rnacentral:rRNA from 1 species